GGGCCGUUAGCAUAGUGGCAGUGCACCCGGUUUGCAUCCGGGAGGCGCGAGUUCAAUUCUCGCACGGUCCA
rnacentral:tRNA from 1 species